AUACGGAGGGGGCUAGCGUUGUUCGGAAUUACUGGGCGUAAAGCGUACGUAGGCGGACUGAUCAGUUGGGGGUGGAAUCCCAGGGCUUAACCCUGGAACUGCCUUCAAUACUGUCAGUCUUGAGAUUGGAAGAGGUGAGUGGAAUUCCUAGUGUAGAGGUGAAAUUCAUAGAUAUUAGGAGGAACACCAGUGGCGAAGGCGGCUCACUGGUCCAAUACUGACGCUGAGGUACGAAAGCGUGGGGAGCAAACAGGAUUAGAAACCCUAGUAGUCC
rnacentral:rRNA from 1 species